UGGCUCAGUGGUUAAGAGCACUGGCUGCUAUUCCAGAGGACCUGGGCUCAAUUCCCAG
rnacentral:tRNA from 1 species